rnacentral:lncRNA from 1 species
CUGAUAUUCGCUCCCAAACCAUAUCACUUUCCUCCCCUUCUCUCUCUCUCUCUCAACAACGAAGAACAUCCUUCAUCGACGUCGGCUCUAUCAAUUAAAAGAGCCAAAUUCGAUUUACCAAACAAAAAUCUGAUUCCAAAACCCAUGCUGCCUAUUUAUCGCCCCACCCCAGCAUCAAAUCUCCCUACUGAAGGUCCGAUUCUUGGAAGGUCCAUAUCUAAGCGAGAACGAACAGCCUUAGCUUUGGCCCUAAAGUGCAAAACCCAGACUCGCCACUUCUUUUCAAUUUGCUACCAAGCUAUUUAUUUAUUGUUGAUGCCGCUAUAGUAGCGGAUUUGAGCAUGGGGUAGUUUUGGGGGUCGAGGUGGUGUUGGUAAUGACAGUGGUGAUAUGUGCAUAUGGUGGUUGCAGUAGUUUGCGAUUUGCGGUGGUAAUCUAUGUAUGUUGUGUGUGAUGUGUAGAGAGAUGCUGUCGGUUCUGGUGUGGUAGAUAAUACAGGCAAUGGUGGUGUUGGGAUGAUGGUGCAUCCUUGGUCAGUUUUUAAAUUUAAUUUUAUUAUUUUAUUAUUUUUUUUGGUGGUGGUUAGCUGUGUUGAUGGCAGUUAUGAUGCAAUUAGUGUUUAUGGUAGUCACGAUGAUUCGGGCGAUGGUGUUGAUGCAACCAUCGUGGUGAUAUUUAGUGGUGGUGAUGGUUGUCAAAGACGUGUUGCGGUGGUAGUGGUGUUGGCUUUUGCGGUGAGGUUGCGGUGGUGAUUGUGGUGCCAAUUUUGGGCUACAGCAGUGGUGUAGUGCAAGCAAGUUGUGUGGUGUGUUGGAUUGGAAUCGGUGGUUGGGUGUUUGGUGCAUAUGACCAAUUA